rnacentral:lncRNA from 1 species
AAAGAACCUAAAGUCACAAUUUAUUGCAACUCGGAGCCUUUUAAAAACAACGACUGCUUUAGCAGAGCUGGGGGGAAGAGAGGUUGUGCGUGCAGUCAAAGCCGUAAACGCAAGCCUUAGCCUGAAAAAAGAAAUAAAUGGACUAAAGCACCAGGGCUGGCUCUGACAGGAAGUGGGGACUCGGGACUUCAAAUACAAACAUUAUGAAAAACAAGCAACAUCUGCAAACAAUGGCGCCUUAAUUUAUAAACAAGUUGGAAAAGCAGAGGGAACAGAAAGGCAGCACCUCCAGGGCAAGCUGCAGCAGCCUUUCAAGGAAGGAAGAGGCACUUUGCCCGGGAGAGAACCAAUCCAUUACUGGAAGGAGACGCCCUGACCCCAUUAGCUGGGCAGACGUGUGUUUGAACUGGAGACCUCUGAGCAUCCUCAAUCCAGGAUGAGCAGCUCAGGCCGCUGCGUCAGACAGGGCGCAUCCUCAGCCAUCCUCCACGCGCUGCUCUGUACCACAGGGGCAACGUGCAGCUGAGAGGUCGGUGUGCCCGCAGUGUGAUUAAAAUGAGCGAGCAUAAAGGUAUGCAGAUAAAUAAAAAAGCCUGGGCAGUGUUACUUGUUUAAAAAUCAGCACUGGGAAGAAAUCCUGUAUGGUCUGUGAUUCUGAUAUUAGCAUGUUCUAAAAAAUUAGCCUGCAACAUGGAAUUUUUAAAAAGGAUUGCUCUGUUCUCAGCCUGUUUUAUUUGUGUUUGAUUCCAGAGCUCCGAGAAUACUGAAGCUGCAUAAUAUGAGAGUUUGUAACCUUUAAAAGUGGAAAUGUCAUAACUUAGUCUUAGGUAGUUAAUUGUGG